AUUGAACGCUGGCGGCAGGCCUAACACAUGCAAGUCGAGCGAGCGGCGGACGGGUGAGUAAUGUAUGGGGAUCUGCCCGAUGGAGGGGGAUAACUACUGGAAACGGUGGUUAAUACCGCAUACCAUCGGAUGUACCCAUAUGGGAUUAGCUAGUGGGUGGGGUAAAGGCUCACCUAGGCGACGAUCUCUAGCUGGUCUGAGAGGAUGACCAGCCACACUGGAACUGAGACACGGCCCAGACUCCUACGGGAGGCAGCAGUGGGGAAUAUUGCACAAUGGGCGCAAGCCUGAUGCAGCCAUGCCGCGUGUAUGAAGAAGGCCUUCGGGUUGUAAAGUACUUUCAGCGGGGAGGCGUUACCCGCAGAAGAAGCACCGGCUAACUCCGUGCCAGCAGCCGCGGUAAUAC
rnacentral:rRNA from 1 species